UCUACGGGCGCAGCAGUGGGGAAUAUUGCACAAUGGGGGAAACCCUGAUGCAGCGACGCCGCGUGAGUGAAGAAGUAUUUCGGUAUGUAAAGCUCUAUCAGCAGGGAAGAAAAAAGACGGUACCUGACUAAGAAGCCCCGGCUAACUACGUGACAGCAGCCGCGGUAAUACGUAGGGGGCAAGCGUUAUCCGGAUUUACUGGGUGUAAAGGGAGAGUAGGUGGCAGAGCAAGUCCGAAGUGAAAACCCAAAGCUCAACUAUGGGAAUGCUUUAGAAACUGCUCAGCUAGAGUGCAGGAGAGGCAA
rnacentral:rRNA from 1 species